UACAGAGGUCUCAAGCGUUGUUCGGAUUCAUUGGGCGUAAAGGGUGUGUAGGUGGCGCGCUAAGUCGGGUGUGAAAUUUCGGAGCUUAACUCCGAAACUGCAUUCGAUACUGCCGUGCUUGAGGACUGGAGAGGAGACUGGAAUUUACGGUGUAGCGGUGAAAUGCGUAGAUAUCGUAAGGAAGACCAGUGGCGAAGGCGGGUCUCUGGACAGUUCCUGGACGCUGAGGCACGAAGGCCAGGGGAGCAAACGGG
rnacentral:rRNA from 1 species